ensembl:snRNA U6 U6 spliceosomal RNA
UUUAGGAAAAAAAUUAAAAUAAAAUAAAAUUAGAACAAUACAGAGAUGAGCAUGGUCCUUCCCACAAGGAUGACAGGAAAAUUCUUGAAGCAUCUCAUAUUUGG